UUCCAGACUCCUACGGGAGGCAGCAGUGGGGAAUAUUGCACAAUGGGGGGAACCCUGAUGCAGCGACGCCGCGUGGGUGAAGAAGCGCCUCGGCGCGUAAAGCCCUGUCAGCAGGGAAGAAAAUGACGGUACCUGAAGAAGAAGCCCCGGCUAACUACGUGCCAGCAGCCGCGGUAAUACGUAGGGGGCAAGCGUUAUCCGGAUUUACUGGGUGUAAAGGGGGCGCAGACGGCGAUGCAAGCCAGGAGUGAAAGCCCGGGGCCCAACCCCGGGACUGCUCUUGGAACUGCGUGGCUGGAGUGCAGGAGGGGCAGGCGGAAUUCCUGGUGUAGCGGUGAAAUGCGUAGAUAUCAGGAGGAACACCGGUGGCGAAGGCGGCCUGCUGGACUGCAACUGACGUUGGGGCCCGAAAGCGUGGGGAGCAAACAGGAUUAGAUACCCCAGUA
rnacentral:rRNA from 1 species